rnacentral:rRNA from 1 species
AUUGAACGCUGGCGGCAGGCCUAACACAUGCAAGUCGAACGAGUGGCGGACGGGUGAGUAAUGUCUGGGAAACUGCCCGAUGGAGGGGGAUAACUACUGGAAACGGUAGCUAAUACCGCAUACCAUCGGAUGUUCCCAGAUGGGAUUCGCUUGUAGGUGAGGUAACGGCUCACCUAGGCGACGAUCCCUAGCUGGUCGGACAGGAUGACCAGCCACACUGGAACUGAGACACGGUCCAGACGCCUACGUGAGGCAGCAGUUGGGAAUAUUGCACAAUGGGCGCAAGCCUGAUGCAGCCAUGGCGCGUGUAUGAAGAAGGCCUUCGGGGUGUAAAGUACUUUCAGCGGGUAUGCGUUAGCCGCAGAAGAAGCACCGGCUAACUCCGUGCCAGCAGCCGCGGUAAUUC